rnacentral:rRNA from 1 species
UCCGAACAGAGAAGUCAAGCCCGCCAGAGCCGAUGGUACUGCGGUAAAACGUGGGAGAGUAGGUCGGUGCCCAAU